GGGGCCUUAGCUCAGCUGGGAGAGCACCUGCCUUGCACGCAGGGGGUCAGGAGUUCAAUCCUCCUAGGCUCCACCA
rnacentral:tRNA from 1 species